CAAUCUUCAAUCUCAAUUUUUCAUACAUAUACAUAUACAUAUAAAUAAAUUUAAGGGGAAAAGACCUAAAGGCCAAAACAACAAUGUCAUUAAAACAUUCAUGAUGCAUAAUUAAAACAUGGAUUCUAAAACCCUUUUGUAAUUUCGUGCUUGAUAAUCUUUAAAUCAUAUUCAAGUGUUUCAACAAGCCCAUGUAGUUUUAGGAUAAACCCCAUGUACCUUAGGUUGUUUAGGAGGAAGGAUGAAUUUCGAAUUUCACCUUAGUUCUUGAAACUAUUAACUUGCAAGGAUGAGCUGUUGAUCUUAAAAGAAAAGGCUAGGGUUUUCAAUUGAUGUUGAGAGAGUAAUUUUUCAUGAAAACCAACCUAAAGUGCUGAUAAAAUGCUUUAAUCUCAUGUUUUGGGCGUAUGGGGAGAAGGGAAAAUGACUCAAUUGCCCUCAAAACAUGGAUUUUAAAAAUUGAAUCAACUAGGCUUUGAUGCGAUAGGCAACGUGGCGUGUCGAUGCCAUCGAUGGGAUACCUGACGCGUUGCGCCCUAAUCGCGCUAAGCCUUAGUACUUUUGCCUUGCAGUUCCUGGAAAAAAUUAACCAAUACGAUAGGCGACGUGGUACGCCAAAAUCACAUUGGUCCACUAUUUUGGGACACCAAACAAGGUCUAAGCACGGCCCCCAAAAAAAUUUUAAACUUAUUCGAGAUAUACUAUCGACUUACCCCUUCGUGAAUCAACUUUAAAAAUUUACUAUCGGAGGUUGGGAAGGUCGUAAAAUGAAUCCUCAAAGAUUUGGAGCUCAAAAUAAGACUAAGUCUUUUUGACAUUUAGAAAAAAAUUUCAAGUUUUCAACUCUAUAAGCAUGCUACUAGGAGAUAAAACAUGAAGGACUUUUGCAGGGUAUUACACCUUCCCCCUAUAAGUAUAGUGUGCUACACACCCACAAAAGGGACUUUACUCAACACGACUCUAUGGAUACCCAAUGAUCCUGAACCAUGCCUUAAUACCACGUUUAUAACGACCUGAACCAGGGCCUAGUCAUGAUGGGUAUCUCAAGCCCACCAGGGACCAAAGACCACUCCUGUCAUGACCCAAAUAAAAGCCUGGCCAUGAUGGGUGUCUCAAGUCCAACAAGGACCGGAGACCACCCCUGCACCUAACCAAAUAAAACACCAUACCCCCAAUGUCAAAUAAAUUCUGAACAUAUAACAAGAUAGCAUAAGAUAAGUUCAAGGAAUUUAAGACAAUUCUAUAACCAAAAACCAACCAACAUCAUCACCCAAGUCCACAGUCGUAUCCACAAAGCCUUCAAACAAAACCAAAUUAAUAAACUAUCGGGACAUGCCCCUGACUCUGACAAUGAUUAUGUUAAUGAUAAGGUAAACUCUUCAGUUCUAGUCUAUGAAAGGAAACUGAUGAAAUAACCAAGUCUUCAUGAGAAUAAAAGCUCACCACUUCACCACUAACGACUGACGAACCAAGCCGAUCCACCUAACACUAUGAAAGAAAAGUAAAAGUAUCUUUGGUGCCUGUAUCACAUUAGAAUAUAGCAUCAGGAAAUGGUUAGUGGGUUGGGAACUAGUAAUAACUCAGGGGUAGGGGGUAAAAUAAUGCCAUGAACCAUAUUUUUAAAACCAUCCAAGCAAUGCAUAUAUAUAUAUAUAUAAACAUGUCAUGUCGGGAAGGGAACAAGGCUUAGCAUAAAGUAAAACUUUAUCCUGGACUAUGUAUCUCAACUCUCAGAAACAGGCACCCACGGGCUAUAUGGGUUCAGCUCUUCCUGGUGAAAGGGCCCAGCACAUAUUAUCCGCACGAAUCGGAGAUAUCAAAGAAGAUUAUGGAAUGCCCCAACCCUACGUCAAUCCAAGAUACAAUCAUAUCAAUACUGUGAACUAUGCAUAUAGGUCAUCACAAACAAACCUCAUGUCAGAAAAUAUAAUUUUCCACUACAAGUCAUCCAAGAUCCACAGCUUUACGGCUUCGAUAUAUAACCCCCAGUAAGCCUAAUUUGAAGCAAGUUUCACAUAACUCAUUUAUUAAUUAACGAACCAACCAUUAAGGCACAUAUGGGCAUCAUCAUACCCUUACUCUUGCAAGUUUAUUUCUAUGCCAUAACAAUCACAUUAACCUGGGGGAAUGCCUCGACCUCCUUUAGUUUAUCAAAUUAAGUAGAGGGGAAUGCCUCGACCUAGUUUGCUCAUUUAAUCAAAACAUAGCCAACAAGUCUUCAAAAGCCCAUGUUCAUUGUUUAACCCUUUAUACAAUGCAAUUUCAUAGGUAGGUACGUUAAACCAAGUGACAAUCUCAUAAUUCAAAACCAUUUAUGCAAGUGGGUUGAGGGAACAUUAUUAUUCAGAACCAAAUUCCAGUUUCAAAACACCAAUUUGGGGGGAAACAUGACCCCUGAGUUUAUUCACCAUUUCUAUGCACCCUAAAAGUUCAAAACAAUUAAUAAAGCAUAAUCAAUGCAUAAUAAAUCAUGAAAAACCAGUUUAAGAAUCAACCAAGUCAAAACCCUCAACCACAUCAAAAUCCAUAUUCAAAAUUCAUAUAAUUAACCCAUGUAAAAUGCAUGUUUUUUAUAAAGUAGUAAUUGAGGAAGAGUAACAUGCCAAAAAUACCAAAGUUUAUGAAGAGAAAUUAACCCUUGAGAGCUUUAAUUGAUGAACUUCUUGGAAACCCUAAGUAUCUUGCUUGAGAGAAUUUAGAGAGAAGAGAGUGCUUUUGAUUGUGUUAUAGAUGAGAAAUAACCCCUUAAAGUGUUUUAUGAUCGUGGGGUCUAAGUAAGGAAAAAGGGGAACUCACCAAAAUUGAAAAUUAGUCGUCAGUGACCACGGGUCACUAUACAACUCGUAGAGACUCGUUACGACUUAUCACCAUGAGUCGUUGUCAAGAAAGUGUCAUUAGGCUCACAUAUUGUUGACCCUACGACUUAUAUUGUACGACUCGUUAGGGGACCUUAUGACUCGUAGGGUCCUAGUCGUCACUAAGACAGGAACCCUUAGAACCUACACUAGUUUGACUACGGUUGAGACAUUAUUACUCGUAAUGAGUCCAUACAACUCAUUCGAAGCCACUCGUAUUCAGAACAGAAAACUUAGCCACACACAUAGGUCAAGCUAUGAUUGGAUCUUACGACUCGUCAAGACUCCCUACUACUCAUAAGGUGAGCCAUAGUCAGGAUUGUGAGGAUAAAAUUUUUAAAACUUUCAAGGAUAAAAAUUUUAGGGUGUUACAACCCCCUUACCCUAACCUCAAGAGCACAAUAAUGAUAAAAAUAAAGCGGAAGCCAAUCAAACCAAUGAUAAUAGUAAUAGGAAUAGAUCAAUCAAAUGACGGUUCAAAGAAAUUCAAAUAAUAAUCCACCCACACUUAUCCAUGAAAGCCUCUAAAACCAGAAUAACAUCUAAGUCGAGACAUGCCCCCGACUAUAACCAAAAAGAAUCCAAAAUUACUAUGAAAAUAAAGCAAGAAUAAUGAAAUGACAAGGUCUUCCAAAGUAUAGAGGCUCACCACUUCACAACAACUCAACAGACGUUCUCAACCACCUAACGCUGCACAUGAGCAAUAGAAAACCCUUCGGACCCUGCAUCAUGAAAAAAUGUAGCUUUCAGGGAUAGUCAGUGGGAUAGGCACUGGCAUGUAACUUAGGGAAUAAGGAUAAAGUAAUACAAUUACUAAAAUCCAGUCAUAAACCAUAUGCACAACAUUCAUAUAUAUAUAUAUAUAUGUAGGAUGACGAGAUGGGGACAGGGGUCAUGAACAUGAGAGUUUAAUAAUUUAGCCGGAACUAUGUAGCCCGUUCCGUCCUUAAGGCACCCAUGGGCUAUAUGGGUUUAGCACCCCCUGUUGAAAUGGCCCUAGUGUGUGUUAGCCGUACGAAUUGAGAAAAAAUUGAGGGAACGCUAAAUCCUCUAAGGCAACAGUCAUCCUAAUAUAUAUAUAUAUAUAUAUAUAUAUAUCGAGUGUUGACCAAGAACACGGUCAUAUAGACCCCCCAACACCGACAAACAUGGUUUUCAGUACCCGUCGCCCUGGAACUUACACCUAGUGAGCUGCAUAAUUCUUUGAAGCCCAAAUUAAAAUAAUUUGCACAUAAACUAACCAUUAAUCUAGGAGUUAUUCAUUAAGGCAUUUACCACUUGGUAUCGUCAUACCAAUAUGCUUACAAGCUUAUUUAACGAUGCCAAACCAAUUCACAUAACUAAAUUGGACUCUCAAGUUCCUUUGAAAAUCAAAAAUCAAGGCCACCAAGGCCAUCCAAAACCAUAUUCAUAUCCAUUUAUCCUUUAAUGCAAUGCAAUGGGUUCAAAACAAGUUAAACCAUGCAAUCCCUAUUUAAAACUAAGAUUAUAAAGUGAGUUAUGGUUAAUGCCAAUUUCAAGUAAAAAUUCAUCCAAUUUUGGGAAACCUGUGUCCCUGAUUCUAACUGUUUAAACAAUGCACUAAUUCGGUCCCAAAAACAUCAAUUUAAAGCAUGGAUAAUCAAUUUAAAACAUGAGACAAGUAAUUCAAUCAGUAGAAACUUAAAUCCCUCAGCCCAAUUUCAAAUCCCACAAUUUAAAUCACAUGAAAAUCCGUUCAAUUAAUGCCAUAAUUUUAAAUUCAAGUUUAAGGAAUAGAAACAUGCCUAAAAUACACAAGGAAUUGAAAACAACUCAGAGUUCAGAGAUUGAAUGGUGAAUCCCUUGUGAAACCUUUAGAGUUUCUUGGUUUAAGUGUUAAAGAAGAAGAGAAUGGUAUUUGAUCCUUAAAACUGAUGGGAAAGGGGUGUAUUUUACGUUUAAGGGUCGUACAAGGGGUAAAAAUACCAACAGCCCCUCACCCCAAGUGGAAAAAACAAAAACUGAAUGAAUUUAAAACAGCAGCUGGCACGCCAAUAUCGCGGAGGUUAGCCUCCAUGCCACGCUAAUAUUGUGGAGGUUAAUCUCCGUGACACGGCCUUAUCAUGGAAGCUUACUGCCUCGGGGUCCCAAAAUGACCCCGAACUCCUUUCAAAAAGUUCAAAACUUUUUCAAAUUACCCUUUUAAUAUCCCUAAACAUAGUUCAAGUCAAAAGUCAAUAUUACGCAUGUGGAAGGGUGAAAAAUAAAAUGAUCAAAAUUUUUAAGGGGUCUUACAUUAUUGAGCAUACCAAUUAUGACUGUAGCCUUAGAAUCUGCCUUUAGCAUUGGAGGUCCCAUUAUUAGAAAAUUUUAAAGUUUAAUUUUACCUACAAAUGCCGAAGCAAGGUUGUGUGCUAGAGAUUGUCUUUGCGAACACGAAGACUAUGAUGGAUCGGACAACGAUGAGGAUAAAAUUGUGGUAGAUCUCCAACAAUAUCUUGCUAGACUUGGCUCGCAUUAAUAGUUUCUGCUUAUUGUGGAAACAAAGUUGGAGCAUGUGAUUAUACAGUUAGCUCAUGAGAUUGCUGAGAAACACGUAGCAGUUGAAGGUGAAUUGAUUGUAACACCAUCUGAUAUGCUAGCAGGAAGGCAUCUAAGCAUACAAAUAGAUGAUCUUGUGCUAUCUAUAUGCCAAUUCAAAGCGUUCUAAUUUUGUUUAGAAGUACUGCCAUAAUUCAAGUAGAUGAUGAAUAUGAUUUCAUUAGAACAAUCCAAGCAAGAUGGAGUUGGCUAUACGGAUCCUCGUUGUGCAUGUUGCUUUAUCUAUGUUCUGUAUUCUAUAUUGUGGAAAUUCACCUGAGAUUGGUUUCUAAAGAUAAGUAAUAUAUUGUUGUGUCUUUCCCUUUGUGUAA